rnacentral:rRNA from 1 species
UCCAGACUCCUACGGGAGGCAGCAGUGGGGAAUAUUGGGCAAUGGACGCAAGUCUGACCCAGCAACGCCGCGUGAAGGAAGAAGGCUUUCGGGUUGUAAACUUCUUUUCUGAGGGACGAAGAAAGUGACGGUACCUCAGGAAUAAGCCACGGCUAACUACGUGCCAGCAGCCGCGGUAAUACGUAGGUGGCAAGCGUUAUCCGGAUUUAUUGGGUGUAAAGGGCGUGUAGGCGGGAAAGCAAGUCAGAUGUGAAAACUCAGGGCUCAAUCCUGAGCCUGCAUUUGAAACUGUUUUUCUUGAGUGCUGGAGAGGCAAUCGGAAUUCCGUGUGUAGCGGUGAAAUGCGUAGAUAUACGGAGGAACACCAGUGGCGAAGGCGGAUUGCUGGACAGUAACUGACGCUGAGUCGCGAAAGCGUGGGGAGCAAACAGGAUUAGAUACCCGAGUA